GUGGGGAAUUUUGGACAAUGGGCGCAAGCCUGAUCCAGCAAUGCCGCGUGCAGGAAGAAGGCCUUCGGGUUGUAAACUGCUUUUGUACGGAACGAAACGGUUCUCUCUAAUACAGGGAGCUAAUGACGGUACCGUAAGAAUAAGCACCGGCUAACUACGUGCCAGCAGCCGCGGUAAUACGUAGGGUGCAAGCGUUAAUCGGAAUUACUGGGCGUAAAGCGUGCGCAGGCGGUUUUGUAAGACAGAGGUGAAAUCCCCGGGCUCAACCUGGGGGGUGCCUUUGUGACUGCAAGGCUGGAGGGCGGCAGAGGGGGAUGGAAUUCCGCGUGUAGCAGUGAAAUGCGUAGAUAUGCGGAGGAACACCGAUGGCGAAGGCAAUCCCCUGGGCCUGCACUGACGCUCAUGCACGAAAGCGUGGGGAGCAAACAGGAUUAGAUACCCGAGUAGUCC
rnacentral:rRNA from 1 species